rnacentral:rRNA from 1 species
GACGAACGCUGGCGGCGUGCCUACUACAUGCAAGUAGAACGCAGUUGCGAACGGGUGAGUAACGCGUAGGUAACUGCCUCAUAGCGGGGGAUAACUAUUGGCAACGCUAGCUAAUACCGCAUACUGUGAGAAUGACCUGCGUUGUAUUAGCCAGUUGGUGAGGUAAAGGCUCACCAAGGCGACGAUAAAUAGCCUACCUGAGAAGGUGAGCGGGCACAACGGGAAUGAAACACGGUCGAGACUCCUACGUGAAGGAGCAGUAAGGAAUCUUCGGCAAGGGACGGAAGUCGGACCGAGCAACGCCGCGUGAGUGAAGAAGGGUUUAGGAACGUAAAGCCAUGUGGUUAGAGAAGCGGUAACUAACCAGAAAGGGACUGCUAACUACGGGCCAGAAGCCGCGGUAAUUC